GACGAACGCUGGCGGCGUGCUUAACACAUGCAAGUCGAGCGGUAAGGCCCUUCGGGUACACGAGCGGCGAACGGGUGAGUAACACGUGGGUGACCUGCCCUUAGCUCUGGGAUAAGCCUGGGAAACUGGGUCUAAUACCGGAUAUGACCUCAUGACGCAUGUUGUGGGGUGGAAAGCCUUGUGCGGCUAGGGAUGGGCCCGCGGCCUAUCAGCUUGUUGGUGGGGUGAUGGCCACCAAGGCGACGACGGGUAGCCGGCCUGAGAGGGCGACCGGCCACACUGGGACUGAGACACGGCCCAGACUCCUACGGGAGGCAGCAGUGGGGAAUCUUGCGCAAUGGGCGAAAGCCUGACGCAGCGACGCCGCGUGAGGGAUGACGGCCUCG
rnacentral:rRNA from 1 species